CCUACGGGGGGCAGCAGUGAGGAAUAUUGGUCAAUGGGCGCGAGCCUGAACCAGCCAAGUCGCGUGAGGGAGGACGGCCCUACGGGUUGUAAACCUCUUUUGCCGGGGAGCAACGGGCGUCACGUGUGGCGCCACUGAGAGUACCCGGAGAAAAAGCAUCGGCUAACUCCGUGCCAGCAGCCGCGGUAAUACGGAGGAUGCGAGCGUUAUCCGGAUUUAUUGGGUUUAAAGGGUGCGUAGGCGGAUCGUUAAGUCAGUGGUCAAAUUGAGGGGCUCAACCCCUUCCCGCCAUUGAAACUGGCGUUCUUGAGUGGAAGAGAAGGAGGCGGAAUGCGUGGUGUAGCGGUGAAAUGCAUAGAUAGCACGCAGAACCCCGAUUGCGAAGGCAGAAUGCCGGCUUCCGACUGACGCUGAAGCACGAAAGCGUGGGGAUCGAACAGGAUUAGAUACCCCAGUAGUC
rnacentral:rRNA from 1 species